rnacentral:lncRNA from 1 species
AUGUCAGACGCAGCCGUGGACACCAGCUCCGAAAUCACCACCAAGGACUUAAAGGAGAAGAAGGAAGUUGUGGAAGAGGCGGAAAAUGGAAGAGACGCCCCUGCUGACGAGGAAAAUGGGGAGCAAGAGGCUGACAAUGAAGUAGAUGAAGAACAGGAAGAAGGUGGGGAGGAAGAGGAGGAGGAAGAAGAAGGUGAGGGUGAGGAAGAAGGAUGGAGAUGA